rnacentral:rRNA from 1 species
AUUGAACGCUGGCGGCAGGCCUAACACAUGCAAGUCGAACGAGUGGCGGACUGGUGAGUAAUGUCUGGGAACCUGCCUGAUGGAGGGGGAUAACUACUGGAAACGGUAGCUAAUACCGCAUACCAUCAGAUGUGCCCAGAUGGGAUUAGCUUGUUGGUGGGGUAAAGGCUCACCAAGGCGACGCUCCCUAGCUGGUCUGAGAGGAGGACCAGCCAAACUGGAACUGAGACACGGUCCAGAAUCCUACGGGAGGCAGCAGUGGGGAAGAUGGCACAAUGGGCGAAAGCCGGAUGCAGCCAGGCCGCGUGUAUGAAGAAGGCCGUCGGGUUGUAAAGUACUUUCAGCGGGGAGGCGUUACCAGCAGAAGAAGCACCGGCUAACUCCGUGCCAGCAGCCGCGGUAAUUC